rnacentral:rRNA from 1 species
GAUGAACGCUGGCGGCGUGCCUAACACAUGCAAGUCGAGCGAUUCUCUUCGGAGAAGAGCGGCGGACGGGUGAGUAACGCGUGGGUAACCUGCCCUGUACACACGGAUAACAUACCGAAAGGUAUGCUAAUACGAGAUAAUAUACUUUUAUCGCAUGGUAGAAGUAUCAAAGCUCCGGCGGUACAGGAUGGACCCGCGUCUGAUUAGCUAGUUGGUAAGGUAACGGCUUACCAAGGCGACGAUCAGUAGCCGACCUGAGAGGGUGAUCGGCCACAUUGGAACUGAGACACGGUCCAAACUCCUACGGGAGGCAGCAGUGGGGAAUAUUGCACAAUGGGCGAAAGCCUGAUGCAGCAACGCCGCGUGAGCGAUGAAGGCCUUCGGUCGUAAAGCUCUGUCCUCAAGGAAGAUAAUGACGGUACUUGAGGAGGAAGCCCGGCUAACUAACGUGCCAGCAGCCGCGGUAAGU